rnacentral:rRNA from 1 species
GAUGAACGCUGGCGGCGUGCCUAAUACAUGCAAGUCGAGCGAACAGAUGAGGAGCUUGCUCCUCUGACGUUAGCGGCGGACGGGUGAGUAACACGUGGAUAACCUACCUAUAAGACUGGGAUAACUUCGGGACACCGGCGCUAAUACCGGAUAAUAUAUUGAACCGCAUGGUUCAAUAGUGAAAGACGGUUUUGCUGUCACUUAUAGAUGGAUCCGCGCCGCAUUAGCUAGUAGGUAAGGUAACGGCUUACCAAGGCAACGAUGCGUAGCCGACCUGAGAGGGGGAUAGGCCACACGAGAACGGAGACACGCUCAAGAGUCCUAAGGGAGGCAGCAGUAGGGAAUCGGCCGCAAUGGGGGAAAGCCUGACGGAGCAACGCCGCGUGAGUGAUGAAGGUCUUGGGAGCGUAAAAAUCUGUUAUUAGGGAAGAACAAAUGUGUAAGUAACUAUGCACGUCUUGACGGUACCUAAUCAGAAAGCCACGGCUAACUACGUG